GAUGAACGCUAGCGGGAGGCCUAACACAUGCAAGCCGAGCGGUAUUGUUUCUUCGGAAAUGAGAGAGCGGCGUACGGGUGCGUAACACGCGUGCAACCUGCCUUUAUCUGGGGGAUAGCUUUUCGAAAGGAAGAUUAAUACUCCAUAAUAUAUUGAACGGCCUCGUUUAAUAUUGAAAGCUCCGGCGGAUAGAGAUGGGCACGCGCACGAUUAGCUAGUUGGUGAGGUAACGGCUCACCAAGGCGAUGAUCUUUAGGGGGCCUGAGAGGGUGAUCCCCCACACUGGUACUGAGACACGGACCAGACUCCUACGGGAGGCAGCAGUGAGGAAGAUGAGUCAAUGGGUGCAAGCCUGAACCAGCCAGCCCGCGUGAAGGACGACUGCCCUAUGGGUUGUAAACUUCUUUUGUAUAGGGAUAAACCUACCCUCGAGAGGGUAGCGGAAGGUACUAUACGAAUAAGCACCGGCUAACUCCGU
rnacentral:rRNA from 1 species